AUUGAACGCUGGCGGCAGGCUUAACACAUGCAAGUCGAGCGAGCGGCGGACGGGUGAGUAAUGUCUGGGAAACUGCCUGAUGGAGGGGGAUAACUACUGGAAACGGUAGCUAAUACCGCAUACCAUGGGUGGUGCCAGAGUGGGAUUAGCUGGUGGGGGGGGUAAAGGCUCACCAAGGCGACGAUCCCAAGCUGGUCUGAGGGGAUGACCAGCCACACUGGAACUGAGACACGGUCCAGACUCCUACGGGAGGCAGCAGUGGGGAAUAUUGCACAAUGGGCGCAAGCCUGAUGCAGCCAUGCCGCGUGUAUGAAGAAGGCCUUCGGGUUGUAAAGUACUUUCAGCGGGGAGGCGUUACCCGCAGAAGAAGCACCGGCUAACUCCGUGCCAGCAGCCGCGGUAAUUC
rnacentral:rRNA from 1 species